rnacentral:rRNA from 1 species
GGGACCUGACUGCUAUCGGAUUGAUANUAAGCCAUGUGAGUCAUUGUAGUAAUACAAGGCAUACGGCUCAGUAACACGUGGUCAACCUACCCUGUGGAUGAGGAUAAUCUCGGGAAACUGAGGAUAAUACUCGAUAGAUCAUAAUGCCUGGAAUGGUUUAUGGUUAAAAUGAUUCGUCGCCAUAGGAUGGGACUGCGGCCUAUCAGCUUGUUGGUGAGGUAAUGGCCCACCAAGGCGAUUACAGGUACGGGCUCUGAGAGGAGGAGCCCGGAGAUGGGUACUGAGACACGGACCCAGGCCCUAUGGGGCGCAGCAGGCGAGAAAACUUUGCAAUGUGCGAAAGCACGACAAGGUUAAUCCGAGUGAUUUCUGCUAAAGAAAUCUUUUGUUAGUCAUAAAACCACUGAUGAAUAAGGGGUGGGCAAGUUCUGGUGU